rnacentral:rRNA from 1 species
ACGAACGCUGGCGGCGUGCUUAACACAUGCAAGUCGAGCGGUAAGGCCCUUUCGGGGGUACACGAGCGGCGAACGGGUGAGUAACACGUGGGUGACCUGCCCUCCACUCUGGGAUAAGCCCGGGAAACUGGGUCUAAUACCGGAUAGGACCACUGAUCGCAUGGUUGGUGGUGGAAAGUUUUUUCGGUGGGGGAUGGGCCCGCGGCCUAUCAGCUUGUUGGUGGGGUGAUGGCCUACCAAGGCGGUGACGGGUAGCCGGCCUGAGAGGGCGACCGGCCACACUGGGACUGAGACACGGCCCAGACUCCUACGGGAGGCAGCAGUGGGGAAUAUUGCGCAAUGGGCGGAAGCCUGACGCAGCGACGCCGCGUGGGGGAUGACGGCCUUCGGGUUGUAAACCUCUUUCGCCAGGGACGAAGAGCAAUUGACGGUACCUGGAGAAGAAGCACCGGCCAACUACGU